CCGGCUGCCUCCCCAGUCUCUGCACGAACUGCCUGACACGCCCCCAGCCCACCACGGAGCCCGGCUCUGUCUCUAAGGGCUCGCUCUCCCCUGGAAACCACACCCACAACAAUGACAGACGCCGGACUCCUUUCUAUCCUCGCUUUCAAAGGGGCGGAAGAACCGGGAGACAGACGGCUUCUGCAGACGCUCGCUGAAGGACUUCUUCCUGCGGAUCUGGUUCAUGAUCAGAUCCAGGGGGGACCGUUUCGGGGUUUUCUGUGAAUCUGAGCGAACAAGUGUGUAAGCGGCGGCCGCUGAGCCCUUUAAAAAAAAAAAUCACAUGCUGUGAUUUCACCUGUGUGCAAUGUAAGCAGGACGCAGAAUAGCGCAGCGUUUUACGGAUUAAACUAUAAACACAGCCUUAUAACCGUGUAAGAGCCCGGUUUCUUUAUUCCUUUUGGACGGUCCGUAAUACGUACCUAGUCUCUCCAUCAUGCACUCGGCAACACCUCCCGGGAGUUUUAUAAAUGCUGGGAGCUGAGAACGAGAAAGGACAUGAUCGCUCAAGACCAAGUUCAGCGAGUGUGAACCCAGUGCGGAUCCCCUUACCGAGGGAAAACCAGCGAAAACUGAACCUAAUCCCAAUAAUUUACUCGCCUUUUAACUCGAUGCUUAGUUUUCCCCCGGGAAACGAUGGCGGCCGGUGUGGGGAAAGUCCUGUGCUAACAGGUGAUUAGAUCCGGGGAGGGAGGACCUCCUCCACCGCACUUUGAAACUGCGCAUUGUGUGGACUCACGGCUGCACGCACUUUCUGUUUGCUUGAAUAAUUAACGAGUCGCCGUGACAACAUGGAGGAAAACGGCUGAGGAGAUCCGGACGUCGCAGUCACACACCCCCCAUAAACCCUGUAAUGCAGGGACGUGUCAUCGGAGGUGAGCACCUGCCUAGAGGUCUGCAACAGGGCGGGACGCGGCGCAAAAGCAUGCGGCGUGGGUCUACAUUUCAGAACUUCUUGCGGGAGUGGGCGUGAGUGGGAUGAAAAAUCAGUCCCGCGCAGACCUAUAGUUGGAAUAAACGCAGAGCCGCGCAACAAAUUUCAAUGUUUCCCUAUAUUUCUCUCAUUUUGACUGUGAAAUGUUUCUAUUGAAACUGUUUAGAUAUUUUUUAAUUUAAGUCUGUUGCCUAGUUAGAAACGUUUUUGGUUGUAUUUUUUUGUGGAAAACUGGUUAGCUAAAUCUACCCUUAUAUAAAAGGCAUCUUUAAUUCGCAGCCGGAGUCGUGCCCACAUAAUAUAGCCUAUAUUUAAUAAAUUCCUGUAUGUCAAUUAGGCAACAAAUAAAUUUGGUACCUUAUUUUUUAUAAGCCAAGAUAUUAUAGCA